rnacentral:rRNA from 1 species
GACGAACGCUGGCGGCGUGCCUAAUACAUGCAAGUCGAGCGAGACUCUUCGGAGUCUAGCGGCGGACGGGUGAGUAGCACGUGGGCAACCUGCCUGUAAGACUGGGAUAACACCGGGAAACCGGUGCUAAUACCGGAUAAUCCUUUUUCUCUCAUGAGGAAAAGCUGAAAGUCGGUUUCGGCUGACACUUACAGAUGGGCCCGCGGCGCAUUAGCUAGUUGGUGAGGUAACGGCUCACCAAGGCGACGAUGCGUAGCCGACCUGAGAGGGUGAUCGGCCACACUGGGACUGAGACACGGCCCAGACUCCUACGGGAGGCAGCAGUAGGGAAUCUUCCACAAUGGACGAAAGUCUGAUGGAGCAACGCCGCGUGAGCGAUGAAGGCCUUCGGGUCGUAAAGCUCUGUUGUUAGGGAAGAACAAGUACCGGAGUAACUGCCGGUACCUUGACGGUACCUAACCAGAAAGCCACGGCUAACUACGUGCCAGCCGCCGCAGUAAGAC